rnacentral:rRNA from 1 species
CGGGACACGUGGUAUCCUGUCUGAAUAUGGGGGGACCAUCCUCCAAGGCUAAAUACUCCUGACUGACCGAUAGUGAACCAGUACCGUGAGGGAAAGGCGAAAAGAACCCCGGCGAGGGGAGUGAAAAAGAACCUGAAACCGUGUACGUACAAGCAGUGGGAGCACGCUUAGGCGUGUGACUGCGUACCUUUUGUAUAAUGGGUCAGCGACUUAUAUUCUGUAGCAAGGUUAACCGAAUAGGGGAGCCGAAGGGAAACCGAGUCUUAACUGGGCGUUAAGUUGCAGGGUAUAGACCCGAAACCCGGUGAUCUAGCCAUGGGCAGGUUGAAGGUUGGGUAACACUAACUGGAGGACCGAACCGACUAAUGUUGAAAAAUUAGCGGAUGACUUGUGGCUGGGGGUGAAAGGCCAAUCAAACCGGGAGAUAGCUGGUUCUCCCCGAAAGCUAUUUAGGUAGCGCCUCGUGAAUUCAUCUCCGGGGGUAGAGCACUGUUUCGGCAAGGGGGUCAUCCCGACUUACCAACCCGAUGCAAACUGCGAAUACCGGAGAAUGUUAUCACGGGAGACACACGGCGGGUGCUAACGUCCGUCGUGAAGAGGGAAACAACCCAGACCGCCAGCUAAGGUCCCAAAGUCAUGGUUAAGUGGGAAACGAUGUGGGAAGGCCCAGACAGCCAGGAUGUUGGCUUAGAAGCAGCCAUCAUUUAAAGAAAGCGUAAUAGCUCACUGGUCGAGUCGGCCUGCGCGGAAGAUGUAACGGGGCUAAACCAUGCACCGAAGCUGCGGCAGCGACGCUGAUGCGUUGUUGGGUAGGGGAGCGUUCUGUAAGCCUGCGAAGGUGUGCUGUGAGGCAUGCUGGAGGUAUCAGAAGUGCGAAUGCUGACAUAAGUAACGAUAAAGCGGGUGAAAAGCCCGCUCGCCGGAAGACCAAGGGUUCCUGUCCAACGUUAAUCGGGGCAGGGUGAGUCGACCCCUAAGGCGAGGCCGAAAGGCGUAGUCGAUGGGAAACAGGUUAAUAUUCCUGUACUUGGUGUUACUGCGAAGGGGGGACGGAGAAGGCUAUGUUGGCCGGGCGACGGUUGUCCCGGUUUAAGCGUGUAGGCUGGUUUUCCAGGCAAAUCCGGAAAAUCAAGGCUGAGGCGUGAUGACGAGGCACUACGGUGCUGAAGCAACAAAUGCCCUGCUUCCAGGAAAAGCCUCUAAGCAUCAGGUAACAUCAAAUCGUACCCCAAACCGACACAGGUGGUCAGGUAGAGAAUACCAAGGCGCUUGAGAGAACUCGGGUGAAGGAACUAGGCAAAAUGGUGCCGUAACUUCGGGAGAAGGCACGCUGAUAUGUAGGUGAAGUCCCUCGCGGAUGGAGCUGAAAUCAGUCGAAGAUACCAGCUGGCUGCAACUGUUUAUUAAAAACACAGCACUGUGCAAACACGAAAGUGGACGUAUACGGUGUGACGCCUGCCCGGUGCCGGAAGGUUAAUUGAUGGGGUUAGCGCAAGCGAAGCUCUUGAUCGAAGCCCCGGUAAACGGCGGCCGUAACUAUAACGGUCCUAAGGUAGCGAAAUUCCUUGUCGGGUAAGUUCCGACCUGCACGAAUGGCGUAAUGAUGGCCAGGCUGUCUCCACCCGAGACUCAGUGAAAUUGAACUCGCUGUGAAGAUGCAGUGUACCCGCGGCAAGACGGAAAGACCCCGUGAACCUUUACUAUAGCUUGACACUGAACAUUGAGCCUUGAUGUGUAGGAUAGGUGGGAGGCUUUGAAGUGUGGACGCCAGUCUGCAUGGAGCCGACCUUGAAAUACCACCCUUUAAUGUUUGAUGUUCUAACGUUGACCCGUAAUCCGGGUUGCGGACAGUGUCUGGUGGGUAGUUUGACUGGGGCGGUCUCCUCCUAAAGAGUAACGGAGGAGCACGAAGGUUGGCUAAUCCUGGUCGGACAUCAGGAGGUUAGUGCAAUGGCAUAAGCCAGCUUGACUGCGAGCGUGACGGCGCGAGCAGGUGCGAAAGCAGGUCAUAGUGAUCCGGUGGUUCUGAAUGGAAGGGCCAUCGCUCAACGGAUAAAAGGUACUCCGGGGAUAACAGGCUGAUACCGCCCAAGAGUUCAUAUCGACGGCGGUGUUUGGCACCUCGAUGUCGGCUCAUCACAUCCUGGGGCUGAAGUAGGUCCCAAGGGUAUGGCUGUUCGCCAUUUAAAGUGGUACGCGAGCUGGGUUUAGAACGUCGUGAGACAGUUCGGUCCCUA